GUCCAUAACGAAUGUAGUUUUGUUCAAAAAAGCUCAUCAUUUAUGUCCAAAAAUCUCCGUCUUGUUAGCACAUGAUGUAAGCCAGCCGGACUUCUCGUCAUGAACGAGGGGAAAAAAUAUAUUUACGUUCGUUCAAACAUGUCAAACGUUGUAUAGCAUAAAUCAUUAGUGCCUUUUUUAACCAGAACAUGAAUAAUAUUCAAGGUGGACGAAUGCAUUCUCUUUUAUAACGUAUUGGAACGAGGGUACCCAACAUGAACUCGCGCGCCAGAGUCUAAUCGGCCAUCACCGUUCCAUGGCUCUUGUUCGGUCAGAUCUCACAGUAAAAGACUCAAAACACUUUGUAAAGGCUGGUGACAUCUAGUGGAAACAAUAGGAAGUGCCAAAACAGUAAUCAACCCCUCUGUGUUUCAAUGGCAUAGGCUUAAAGGUAAUUCAACACAUCAGGUAUCCACUUCCUGUCAGAAAAUGUCUCAGGGUUUUGCCUGCCAAAUGAGUUCUGUUAUACACAGACACCAUUCAAACAGUUUUAGAAACUUUAGGGUGUUUUCUAUCCAUAUAUAAUAAGUAUAUGCAUAUUCUAGUUACUGGGUAGGAUUAGUAACCAGAUUAAAUCGGGUACGUUUUUUUAUCCAGCCGUGAAAAUACUGCCCCCUAGCCCCAACAGGUUAAACAUGUCUGUAAAAUCACAAUGUGAACAUCGACCUAUCAAGUAAUUUUUCAUAAAUCAUUGGGUACAAUGCAAGAACAAAUGUGAGAGUAAUCUGAAGUGGUUGCAUUAAUUCAUGUUCACAUUUACAACAUAACAUGCAUGAGCAUUUCAUCACUAAGACUUUUUGGGAAUAAUGUCUGAAGGGUGAAAAUCCCAAAACAUUCUCUUUUGUGCAGAGUAUUAUUUAUACCACCUCCCCUGUAUUAUAUCUUGACUUUCUCUAUGCCACAACAUCUAAAAAGUAGAAAUGUCAUGUUUUUGGUCAUUUAAAAUGUACUGACUGGAUAAUCCCUGUCGUUUCUCCUGAUUUAACUUUUAUGUUCACUAAUUCUCUGUUUGAGAGAACGAGAGGUUUUACCUACAUAACACAGCCCACAUGGACAUUUAAUCAUGUAGGUAACAUGGGUGGUGGAGCACGUAAUAAUGUAAUUUAUAUGGAACUGUUUUCCUGUAUGUGGGUGGCAGAAAUAUUCACACUUCAUCAUAUUGUUGCACUGUGCGCAACCUCUGCAUUUAUAGCUACCAUUCGGAAGAGCGUGUAAAAGAGCCAGGAUCAUUUGCUUUAGUGGCUGGCAGUUGGCAUGGACCAAUUUGUCACGUAAAUUGCGACCUUUCCUAUAUACAAUAAGUGGUGGGUUCUUAAAUUCAGCUGGCAAAGCUGGGUCCAAUGAUAAAACACGCCAAUGGGUUUUGCUCAUGAUAGCUUGAACUGACAAUGACUUGGUGAUAAAAACCUAAAAGAUAGCAUUCCAUAGACAAGAUGUGGUGUGUGUGACCCGAGAUAGAGUCAGGAAGAGUUUUUAGAACAAUGCCUCAUUGUCUCAUCUUCCUGGCAUUGGGAAACUAAGCCGAGUUGGAAGUAAAACAACGUCCCGUGCAGAUAACCUGGAGAUGGACCAAGUACUGGAACUUCCACAACAGUUUUGGCGACGAGUGUCCGUGUAUAUGUGAUGAGAAAAGGAGUCAAUCGCAGGACACCGAACUGAGUAAAAAUUAAGUAAUUUACUCAACAUAAAAAUUCAGUAUACAAAAUCCAUGCAGGGAAAACAAGAACUACAAAACCAACGAACAAUACCAACAGUAAAACAAUAACGCACAAAACAUCAUGAUGACCAGAGGGUUAAAAUAGGGCAGUAAUCAUAACCAAAUGGGAACCAGGUGUGAACAAUCAAGACAUAACCAAUCGACAAAGAAACAUGGAUCGGUGGCAGCUAGAAAGCCGGUGACGAUGACCGCCGAACGCUGCCCGAACAAGGAGAGGCACCAACAUCGGCGGAAGUCGUGACAACGAGGAGGAUCUCUGCAACUUCACCUGUUGACCGCUCCUGAAGAUCUGGGUAAACUGUGCACAGGGGAUCCAAAAUUGGGAGCUCGGGGAAACCACACUCCAAAGGAGAAGCUGGACCCUCCUCAGAUCUGCAGGAAGCGGGCACGGAUGGAUAUCAGAUCUCGAACAUAGUGCUGAGAGAGGUGAGCUUGGACAAUCUAUCAAUAAGUGAUACAAAAAAAUAUAUAAAUAACAAAAGCCCCUGUCAAGGGUAUGCUCAGAGCAAGGUCUUCCUUAAGAGGGCCACAACUGAGGUAACUAGCAGGACUGAGUUGAGUUGAUAAGAGUGUUCUUAAGUGAGGUUUCCUUGGGCAUGAUUGAGAAUUAGCCUGUUGCGGGCAACCAAAAGUCCAGAUCCGUGGUACUGGGUUGAUCACAGUAGGACUGGUGAUGUUAAUGUGUAGAGCGAGAGACUAGAGCGCAGGUGACGCCUUACAAGGGCACCUGGCAUGGUGAAUUUCAAAUGAUAUGUAUGUAGUUGAUUAAAUGUUUUGUUGAUGAAGUAAACAAGUAUGCCCUGGGUCAGUAUUGUUAGUUGUUAUUGUUAUUCCUGGUUAGAUAAUAACCCGUUUUGGGACCACAAGUUAGGCAAUAUUUUGAUAAUGGUAUGGUUUUCCCUGCUCAUAUAGAGAGGGUUUACAAUCUAAAAACAGCGCUAACGAUUUAAUAAAAAAAUGUUUUUGACUGUCUCAUUCCCUAUGUUUGUGUUUUCUGUGAGUGUGUGAGUGAAGGAGCCGGAACCAUGGGAGCACACGGUAGCGAAGGACACGGAAUUCCAGAUCCCCCAAAGGAUGCCCUGAAGGUUAAGUGCUGCCUGUGGCUGUCGACCUUCUUUCCCCCGCCUCUGCCUGAUGCCCUAGCUCUGCACUCCACUACGCCUCUUCACCCAACUCUGUUCCUCCCCUCUCGUAUGAAUCUCCCCUAGCAGCAGCGGUGGACCAACUGCUCUCUGAACUGGCCAUGCAUCAACUCCAAAACCAACCAGAAAAGGGUGCUGCUGGAGGAGCCAGAGCAGAAUGUAGGAAGAGCAACAACCUCUUCUCACAAUAACCACCUCUAGCCAGCCCGUUGGAGGAUGAUGACGACAACAGUGAUACAUCCUCUCAGAACGGAGCAUCAGCUCCCUACUCUCUUCCCCUCCGCUUAAGAGCCAUCUGCAAAGGAAGAUAGACCCGCCGACACCCUCACCAUAUGAUCUAGCACCAGAUAUGUAUCAACAGUACCCUCUGAUUGCAUGUCCAAACCCUCAGCCAUGACCAGCUGCAGGCCACACUGAUUUGGCUGCCUGGCAACCAAUCAUAUACCCAGAGGUCAUGGAGACAUGAUGAAAUUAAAGACAUUGUUGAGGAUUUGCCUGACCCCAGCAAAGAUGCGGUAAAGUUUGCAGCAGAAAUGAGGGUUCUGUCAGGACAGCACCAGCCAUCUGCAGCUGAGAUAGCCCAUAUCUGUAAGAAGAAACUAGGGCUUAGGUGGGCUGAUGUAGAAGGGGACUUUGAUUAUAAUCAGCUCUGGGAUGGGAAUGGAACUGUAUCCCGUCAAGACUGACUGGACAUCCAUCAGAGAAUGCACCAUCAAGAAAGAUGAGAGCCUGGAAGCGUAUUGAAGGAGACUGGAAACCUGUUUCAGGCUGCAAAGCGGCAUCAGACCAAAUUACCUGGCAUAUGGAAAUCUGUUGUAGGACGCCCUGAUGAGGGGCCUGACACCAGACUUGGAGAAAGCGGUGAGAACCACCUGUAUCAGUUGGGAAACUGAACCCCUGUCCACUGUGGUACAACAUUGCAAACAUGCUGAGCGACAACAAUGUGCUCAGAAGGAAGAAAAUACAAAAGAAGAAAGAGUGAAGACUGAAAUUGCAUUCUACCAAGACCAGGUGCCUGCUGGAGUGGGAGGUGGUGGAGGUGGAAGAAAACCCAAACUUGGAAGUUGCUUCACCUAUGGCAAGCCAGGCCAUUUCGGUGCACAAUGCAAUCAAGCCCAGCAGCUGAUGGGAAGAGGCAGGGGCAGACCAAGAGGCAGAGGAGCCCCAAGGGGGGCCCCUCGAGGAGGAGGUCCACCAGGAGGACAAGGAUUGUGGUAUCCCCCUGCUCAACAGCCAUGGCAGCCGCCACCCAACCAAUGGCCAGGGCCACCCCCACAUGGGGGCCCUCCGCCACCGUGGGGACCACAAGGGAGCCCUCAAGGCAGAGGCCAAUCUGGGCAAGGGCAGAUGGGCCCGCCUGCACAGACGACCCUGUACAAUCCAGGACAAGAAAAGGAGGAAGAAUAUUGACAUGGAGAGACAGACACAGAUGAGGUAGAAUCGUCAGGGCAACCAGUGCAUUUGUUUUUAAAGAGCCAUACCCUUCCUCGAAUUGAGCCAACAGUAGAGGCUUGCGUCAAUGGGUGAAAGCAGCUUUGCCUCAGCCCCUGGUGGGAAUCCUACAUAAGCUUCAACCUGGUGACUGGGUUGUGGUCAAGGACCUGAGGAGGAAGCAUUGGACCCAGCAGAAGUGGAAUGGCCCAUUCCAGGUGUUGCUGAUAAACCCCACCACUGUUCGAGUGGCUGAGAGAUCGACAUGAGUACACUCCAGCCACUGCAGGAAGGUCCCAUAUGAUCCAGUUUCAGAUGUCCCGGAGGAUGGGUUUCCGCCAGCCAUGACCUAGUUGGCCGUGGGAGAAUCAGGAUGAAGUCAGAGGAAUCCUGGUUGUUGCAUUCUUUGCCAGCCUCUUCAUCUCAAUGACUGUUUGAACCCUGCAGAGAGGGGAAUAGGCGAAAGGGGAGGAUGGCCCAAAUAUCACUGCAGUCCCAAAGCUGGGACUUAAUAACAGCCACUCCAGCUCAAGCCAAUGGCAGGCUCAGGACAUGAGUCCAGUAAACAAUAGCCACACUGAGACCAGAAGAAGCAGGAGCUCGAUGCAUCCACUGGAUGAGCAUCACAGCCAGAAUCAUGAGGAAAACACUUGGUGGUCACUGCUUAAUUAUACAGUAAAAACUGAACUAAUGGUAGAAAACACCUCCUGUCAUGUAUGUAGUCUUUUUCCACGCUCAGCGAUCUCAACAUUCUUACAGUAUUCAGUAGAGGCCAGCAUUAACGACACUCUAUGUGCACUGGAAGUCAUCUUAUCAAAUUAAACUUCAUGGGGUUAACCUUCACAGGGUAGAACUAUGAAGGAAAAAUGCAUUAAUGAUGAUUUGUCAUUGUCAAAAGAUAUGAGGCAGAUUUGAUUGUAAACGUUGGUGUACUAAAAUGAUUUUAGAACCUAGACACCGUGUACUGAAACCUAUACUAAUCCAACCCCGCCAUUGUCACAACCCAAGUAUUAUCUCCAUACCACGAUCUUAUGAAUCCUAUUUGGGAAUGUCAACAUGUGUUAAUUAUAGUCUUCCCAUUAGGAUGUAGCUGGAUAAAUGGAACAUGCAAUUCUAACUGGCCUGUUAAACUUAAUGUGGGGCACACCACCAUUCAAGUAGAAACAGACGAGCGCUGUCCACAUCAAUAUGGCUCAGCCACGUUUAAUGAUCAUUAUUGGAUCUGUGGUAAUAAGGCAUAUCUUUAUUUACCAACAAAUUGGACAGGGUGCUGUGUUUUUGGUAAACUAAACAUCUCCAUUGUUGUAAUGCAUAAAACAAACUCCUCCAUUCCACGCAGAUUAAGACGGAUUAGGAGGAGCAUUUCACAAUUGAAUGACGUUCCAAUUGAGUCACGACGAUCCUCAGAACUUGAAGUUUUGGCAUGGGUUAAUUUCUUGAUAUGGGGCAUCGGAAAAUGCCCAUGACUUAGAACGAUUGGGAUAUCAUUUAGAAACUUUUGUAAAUUUAAACCACUUCAGGAUUUUCGAUAAUGAGACCAGAAUUACAAGCAGCUCGCCUCACGGCUAUACAGAAUAGAUUAGCACUUGAUAUGUUACUAGCACAGGAAGGGGGAGUGUGCCAAAUGAUAGGUGAAUAUUGCUGUACAUUCAUACCCCAGGAUGAGGGUAACUUCACUAUUGUUGUGGAACAUCUGGAAGAGCUCACCGGCGAUCUCACAAAAGAACACCAACCAGACAACAAUUGGAAUCCGUUUGGAUGGGUUCAAUCAUUAUUUGGUGUUAUGGAAACAACAGUUUUCCAUUGGCUCAUUUAUGGCCAAUUAAUAUUUUUUGCUGUGCUAUUUCUUAUUGUCUAUGUUAAAAAUCUUUGUUGUAAAGUGCUGGAUACUGCCCUCACUAUGCCAUUGCUUGAUGUUCAUGCUGACUCUGAGGAUGAUGAGAAUAAUGAUGAUGUAUCUAUAAAUGAUCGAAUGCCUGAUAUUCCAGACCUAUUUCCCAUUCCUGAUUACAUACAGUGGGGAGAACAAGUAUUUGAUACACUGCCAAUUUUGCAGGUUUUCCUACUUACAAAGCAUGUAGAGGUCUGUAAUUUUUAUCAUAGGU
rnacentral:lncRNA from 1 species